rnacentral:rRNA from 1 species
UACGAAGGGAGCUAGCGUUGUUCGGAAUCACUGGGCGUAAAGCGCACGUAGGCGGAUGUGUCAGUCAGGGGUGAAAUCCCGGAGCUCAACUUCGGAACUGCCUUUGAUACAGCACGUCUUGAGUCCGGAAGAGGUGGGUGGAAUUCCUAGUGUAGAGGUGAAAUUCGUAGAUAUUAGGAAGAACACGGUGGCGAAGGCGGCCCGACUAGGUCCGGGUCACU